CUGAUGAGCACGUUGACAGAGUGUGUACUGUAUAUCAUGUUGUACUGCAUUUGUCCUUCUAUUUUGGGUGUUCGAUUCGGUCAGACCGGCCCCCCAACUGUUGAGUCUCAUUUGUGCACGAUAACACAUUGAACAUUACCAAGUCAGCCCCAAAAAUGCUGUUAACAAUGAGUACUACGACUACACUUUAGACCGGGGCUCCCAGUGUGGCCCCCUAAAGUGAACAAGGACACAAGUAGGAUGGAAAGGAAACACGUAACUGGUUAGAAGAAAAAAAAAAUUACUUUAGAUUUUCAUAAAUCCCAACAGAGAUUCAAAGAAAGUCAAAUCUCCGUCGUGAGCUGCGUGUGGGCGUUCCACACCACCCUUUCCUCCACUGAACAAAGUACAUAUUUAAGUCCAAUGGCCACACGGACGGGGCCGUAGGGACAAAUCUGUUUCUGCCGCUGAUGUGUGGGGAAAACUAAAAGCGAAGGAAGAGCAGGAUGCCUGGAGAGUGAGCCUCGCUGUCAGAAUACCCACCUGUUCCAACAGCCUUUUAAAGUGCGAUGCCCUACAGACUCCUGCCUCAGCUUGUGGUUUUUGCCUUUGCCUUUUUUCUCAUGUUUCAUCUUUGACACGCAUGUCGGAGCCGAGAAACGAUGAAGUACAGGCACUGCUUACAGUUUAGAUAAAAGCAAUUUCUUAUACACGUCUGAAUCACACUGAAUCCAUCCCAAUGCCGUGUAGUCAAAUAUUAGCAAAUAUUUAACUAAAUUGAAAUCCGAAUUAAUUAAUAACAAUUGUAUCAUCAAAUCAAAUUAGAGAUAAAAAAAGAAAAAAAGCUAUGGAAAAAAGAGAACGUCUGCAGCAGUUUGUCAAAUCUUCCUGAACAGGUGAGGCGUCGGUGGAGCAGAGAGGAAGACAGAAGAAGCGGGUGGAGUCCUAUGAAAAAAACAUCUAUGCAGAAUUCCAUCACAGCUGGUGAAACUGUAAGCGGAGCGCCGAAAGGGGAAAGCCCGCUGCAGGAUCGCUGUCUCGCGGGGCGACAAAAGCCCACAGUGAGCCACAUGUGUACAUAAUACUAGUCUGGUCUGCUGCAUUCUACAAAUACCGGACGGAUGAAGGAUCUGUGUCGUCCAGGGUCACAGCUGCUUCGGUACAGAUGUGUCGUUUCAGGAGAGGACCGGUUAUUCUUGUUUUUGUUUUUUUUUCUUGUUUGUUUUUACCUCGUGGGUUAUGGAAUGAAGGGUGUGUGUGUAACGUAAUUCGACAAACUGAAGUCAAGUACCUGUAAUCUAACGGCAGGUAAAAAAGAAGCGGGUGAUAAAACAAUUCAUGUUUAAAUAAUAUUUUUAUGUAAAAAAAAAAAGCCGCUGAAUGGAUUUUAAAUAAAAUUCUUGAGAAAA
ensembl:lncRNA